rnacentral:rRNA from 1 species
UACGUAGGGUGCGAGCGUUGUCCGGAAUUACUGGGCGUAAAGAGCUCGUAGGCGGCUUGUCGCGUUGUUCGUGAAAAUUUACCGCUCAACGGUGAACUUGCGGGCGAUACGGGCAGGCUAGAGUACUGCAGGGGAGACUGGAAUUCCUGGUGUAGCGGUGAAAUGCGCAGAUAUCAGGAGGAACACCGGUGGCGAAGGCGGGUCUCUGGGCAGUAACUGACGCUGAGGAGCGAAAGCGUGGGGAGCGGACAGG